rnacentral:rRNA from 1 species
GUUGGGAAUCUUGCGCAAUGGGCGAAAGCCUGACGCAGCGACGCCGCGUGCGGGAUGACGGCCUUCGGGUUGUAAACCGCUUUUCUCGGGGACGACUCUCGACGGUACCCGAGGAAGAAGCCCCGGCUAACUCCGUGCCAGCAGCCGCGGUAAGACGGGGGGGGCAAGCGUUGUCCGGAAUUACUGGGCGUAAAGGGCGCGUAGGCGGGCGCGUACGGCGGUGGUGAAAGCUCCCGGCUCAACUGGGAGAGGCCCAUCGCAACGGCGCGUCUUGAGGGUGGUAGAGGCGGAUGGAAUUCCUGGUGUAGCGGUGAAAUGCGUAGAGAUCAGGAGGAACACCCGUGGCGAAGGCGGUCCGCUGGGCCAUGCCUGACGCUGAGGCGCGAAGGCCAGGGGAGCGAACGGGAUUAGAAACCCUAGUAGUCC